rnacentral:tRNA from 1 species
UAUACAUUAGUGUAGGAUGCACAUGGAAAUUUGAAUUCUUUAGUCUUAGUUUAAUUCUAAGAUGUAUAA